rnacentral:rRNA from 1 species
AUUGAACGCUGGCGGCAGGCUUAACACAUGCAAGUCGAGCGAGCGGCGGAAGGGUGAGUAAUGUCUGGGAAACUGCAUGAUGGAGGGGGAUAACUACUGGAAACGGUAGCUCAUACCGCAUAACAUCAGAUGUGCCCAGAUGGGAUGAGCUAGUAGGUGGGGUAAUGGAUCACCUAGGCGACGAUCCCUAGCUGGUGUGAGAGGAUGACCAGCCACACUGGAACUGAGACACGGUCCAGACUCAUACGGGAUGCAGCAGGGGGAAAUAUUGCACAAUGGGCGAAAGCCUGAUGGAGCCAUGCCGCGUGUGUGAAGAAGGCCUGCGGGUUGUAAAGCACUGUCAGCGAGGAGGCGUUACUCGCAGAAGAAGCACCGGCUAACUCCGUGCCAGCAGCCGCGGUAAUUC